AAUAGGCCUGUCUUAGCAGGGAAUCCUGACGGAAUAGGCCUGUCUUAGCAGGGAAUCCUGAUGGAAUAGGCCUGCCUUAGCAGGGAAUCCUGAUGGAAUAGGCCUGUCUUAGCAGGGAAUCCUGAUGGAAUAGGCCUGUCUUAGCAGGGAAUCCUGAAUUCUCCAACUGGGGUUUUCUGUAAAACUUUGGGAAAGUUACGUGAAUUUUGCAACCGUAAUCCAUCGACAGAGUUUUUUAUAAUUGAUUGGUUGGUUGAUUGAUUGGUUGAUCAAUCGAUUGUUUGAUUGAUUGAUCGAUUGAUUGGUUGAUUGGUUGGUUGAUUGAUUGAUUGGUUGGUUGAUUGAUCGAUUGGUUGGUUGGUUGAUUGAUCGAAUGGUUGAUUGAUCGAUUGGUUGGUUGAUUGAUCGAUUGGUUGGUUGAUUGAUCGAUUGUUUGGUUGGUUGAUUGAUCGAUUGGUUGGUUGGUUGAUUGAUCGAUUGGUUGGUUGGUUGAUUCAUCGAUUGGUUGGUUGAUUGAUCGAUUGGUUGGUUGGUUGAUUGAUUGAUCGAUUGGUUGAUUCAUCGAUUGGUUGAUUGAUUGAUCGAUUGGUUGGUUGGUUGAUUGAUUGAUUGAUUGGUUGAUUGAUCGAUUGGUUGGUUGAUUCAUCGAUUGGUUGAUUGAUUGAUCGAUUGGUUGGUUGGUUGAUUGAUUGAUCGAUUGGUUGAUUGAUCGAUUGGUUGAUUGAUUGAUUGAUUGGUUGAUUGAUCGAUUGGUUGGUUGAUUGAUUGAUUGGUUGGUUGAUCGAUUGGUUGAUUGAUUGAUUGGUUGAUCGAUUGGUUGAUUGAUUGGUUGAUUAAUCAGAAGAUUGAUUGACUAGUUGUUGCUUAACCUCAAUAGGGACUGCAUCUCAAAUGGUACCCUAUCUAGUGCACUACUUUAGACCAGAGCCCUAUUCCCUAUAUAGUGCCCUACUUUAGACUAGAGCCCUAUUCCCUAUAUAGUGCACUACUUUGGACUAGAGCCCUAUUCCCUAUAUAGUGCACUACUUUAGACCAGAGCCCUAUUCCCUAUAUAGUGCACUACUUUAGACCAGAGCCCUAUUCCCUAUAUAGUGCACUACUUUAGACCAGAGCCCUAUUCCCUAUAUAGUGCACUACUUUAGACCAGAGCCCUAUUCCCUAUAUAGUGCACUACUUUAGACCAGAGCCCUAUUCCCUAUAUAGUGCACUACUUUAGACUAGAGCCCUAUUCCCUAUAUAGUACACUACUUUAGACUAGAGCCCUAUUCCCUAUAUAGUGCACUACUUUGGACUAGAGCCCUAUUCCCUAUAUAGUGCUCUACAUUAGACCAGAGCCCAAUUCCCUAUAUAGUGCACUACAUUAGACCAGAGCCCAAUUCCCUAUAUAGUGCACCUCUUUAGACCAGGGCCCUAUUCCCUAUAUAGUGCACUACUUUAGACCAGGGCCCUAUUCCCUAUAUAGUGCACUACUUUAGACCAGAGCCCUAUUCCCUAUAUAGUGCACUACUUUAGACCAGAGCCCUAUUCCCUAUAUAGUGCACUACUUUAGACCAGGGCCCUAUUCCCUAUAUAGUGCACUACUUUAGAGCAGAGCACCACAUAGUAAAUAGGGUGCCAUUUGGGACACUACAUGUCAGAGGAGAACUUAUGUUGCCAAAAAUGUUUUCAAAGAAAUGUGCAUGAAUUUAUAUAGCCUUUAAGAGACUAUUAGAAGAGGGAGGGGGGGGUGUCUGUGUGUUUGUAGGUGUGAGAGUGAAUGAGUGUUUGUAGGUGUGUGUUGUUUGUGUGUGUGUGUGGGGGGGGUGUCUGUGUGUUUGUAGGUGUGAGAGUGAAUGAGUGUUUGUAGGUGUGUGUUUGUGUGUGUAGGUGUGUGUGUGUGUGUGACUACCACAGCCCUUGUACAAAUUAACAGUUGUAGAUUUUUCCCCAAACAAAGAGGUGGGAACAUAACGCACCCCGUCUUUGCCCUUCCCCUUCCCAGUGCUCCAACCAAUCUCGUCUCUCCUUGAGAUCUGGAACGUUCACAGACUCCGCCCCCAGACCCCUCCCCUCUACAAACUGUCGGGCGACGGAACACGCUGUUGCCUUCCUUCUACGUUGUCACGGCAACAGAACAAUGAGCUCGGAACUCUAUAGAAUGGAGGUGAUUCUAACCCGGAACUCUCCUACUGUAAACAAUACCUACAUAAUGAGGAUGAUCGUCCAUUGUACAUAGAUCCACCUGUGCUCUGACUUGUCUUGUAUUGCUACUGAAGUUAACCCCAGUUAAACUGUGUAACCAAACCUUUGCCGGUGUA
ensembl:lncRNA